CACUGCACCAGGGGGAAAGAGGGCUGGAAGACCCAGAAAAAAUAUUUCUAAGACCUGGGCCUGAAUGGAUUUAGACCAUUUCUCCCACAACUCAUUGGCUUGAGCUCAGUCACUUGGCUCCAUCAACGUGAAAACAAGGCUGGACAACAAGUCAUCUUCUGUGGCUAGAAGGAAGAAUUGAGUUACCUGCGGUCAACCUCUGUCCGGAAGCAGACGAUCCUCCUUGUGAUGAAUUGUCAGAAGGUCACUAGUAGCCUAACAAUACAUCACAACGCCUACGUCAUUCACCUCACUUCAUCUCAACAUGCAAGCGUUUUAUCAUCUCACAUCAUCACAAGAGGAAAAAGAGCUUCUGAUGUGUCUACCUGCAAGGCCAAGUGCAGUAAUUUGUGAGCAUGAGUUCAUCCAGUCAUUAAUAAAU